AUGCAGCGUAUCAGGCACUGAAUUUCCCCAUUGAUUCAUAGAGGCAAUACAGUGAGGGGUGCAGCAGUAUAAACUUCCCAGAAUACUCCACCUGUGUGCUUUUACCUUGACAUGAGGAGCCAUCUCUAAGGGUGAGAGGGUUAAUUCACUCUCCAUUCCCAUUCAGUCCUUUGCUGCA
rnacentral:sRNA from 1 species